ensembl:lncRNA
GGGGGGUGGUUUUUGUUCAAAUAACAAGGCCUGUCUUAGAAGGUGGCUCAAGGCCCUCCAGCCUUUCUCCGGCUUGGCCAUCAGGGCAUGUGGAACAGAGAGGGGACUGAAGCUGGUGGUUGCUCCUGUUAGAAUCUCAGAACCAGCUCCCCGGGAGCAUCACCACGUCUGGAGGUCCACCUGCUCCUCUGAAGUGUUGGGAGGAUUCCCGGAGGCCAUUCUGAGAUGCACAAGGGGGGAAGGGAAGCGCGUGUGGGUCCUGACAGUGCUCAGGGUUGUUCUCAGCCCUUGGAACAUCGCUGACAUUUAAUGGAGAACGCUGCUGCCAGCCUUGCUAGUUUUGCCCUCUUGGAUCACACAGAGUUCAUUAUAUCUACACAUGAAACAGACACAGAGCUGGAAGAUGGGAAGCAGAUCAGAAACGCCCUGGGUUGGUUGCAGGUACUGCUUUUCUAAGAGUGGCUGUUAUCAGCAUGAAGGGGACCCCAGGUAGGCUCACCACACUAUGUUGUCAGUGUAGAAACCAUAAACCCAGGGCAGAGAGGAAGACAUGUAGCAGCGUGUAUGUGGCCCUGAGCAUGAGGUCCUGUAUCUUUAAGCAGAGCUCGGCAAGCCUAGAGGCUGGCUUUGCUUGCUCAUCUAUGCGGAGGCGGCCACCAUCCUGUGAGCAGUACCUGGGGUUGUGGGAGUUCUUUGGGGAGACUGCCCUGUGAGUCACGCCUGCAGAGGGUUGUGGGGCAGAGUUCUCAACAUGCUCAGUGGUGAUUCAGGGGCCCAGCUGAGACCUCAGCCGUAACCAAGGCUACCCAAGUAACCCAUUCUACCUGGUCCGGAACUGGCCCUGUCUGGCUGGUAGGGAGUGGUCCUGACUUAGAUAACCACAUCAUCGCCAGCAGUGAUCAAAAAGAUGCCCACAGGAUCAGUCUCCUGGCAUCAGCCGUGGCAUGUGGGCACAAGGAGAGCUGGGGAAUAGUGGGUGCAAAUGGUCUGAGAAGACCAGCUCUCCAGUGAACAAGCAUAUUCACUAUGGCAUUAGUGCUAGAAAGACCACACAUUCACUGGGUGUAUCCACAGGGGUUACUCAGCAGCAUGAUACAUGGGGGGCUGGAGAUGUAAAUCCCUCCUUGUGUUUAGGGAUUGAAAGUCCCCUCUGUGGUCAAGGAUUUGGGGCAGUCUUAUGUGAAAGUAGGGAGAGUGACCCAGUGGCUUCAGGGCUGCCUCCCAGCCCUGCCCUGGACCACAGAUGCAUCAGCAGUAGUUCAGCAGCUCUAAAGAGCUGCUUUAUCCUCAGAAGGUAAUAUAUUGGCCUCCUUCUCCCUGCAGAUGCUUAAGGUGGGCUCAAGAGCUCAUAAC